rnacentral:rRNA from 1 species
AUUGAACGCUGGCGGCAGGCCUAACACAUGCAAGUCGAGCGAGCGGCGGACGGGUGAGUAAUGUCUGGGACACUGCCUGAUGGAGGGGGAUAACUACUGGAAACGGUAGCUAAUACCGCAUACCAUCAGAUGUGCCCAGAUGGGAUUAGCUAGUAGGUGGGGUAACGGCCCACCUAGGCGACGAUCCCUAGCUGGUCUGAGAGGAUGACCAGCCACACGGGAACUGUGACACGGUCCAGACUCCUACGGGAGGCAGCAGUGGGGAAUAUUGCACGAUGGGCGCAAGCCGGAUGCAGCCAUGCCGCGGGUGUGAAGAAGGCCUUCGGGUUGUAAAGCACUUGCAGCGGGGAGGCGUUACCCGCAGAAGAAGCACCGGCUAACUCCGUGCCAGCAGCCGCGGUAAUAC